GAAAUUUGGUGCUAUAGAGUUGUCCUCUUCCUUCUUUUUUUAAAACGUAAUGGUGGAAGAAGUAUUUAUUAAUCAACAAGUUGUCCUUUAAGUCCUUUUCCUUUUCUCUUUUCUGUGGCGAUUCUGUUGACCUUGCUCAUGUUACUUUGAAAGACAGGGUCUUUGAAUGUUCAUACAGAGGCUUGGAAGGAUCCACGGUGCCUCACAGUUUCCAAUUCUCUUAAAGAGUAUCGAGAGUUUCUUUUCUCAAAAGAUGGCAAUGAUCUUAGAUGCUUUCGUGAAAAGAUACAUGAACAAACUUGC
rnacentral:lncRNA from 1 species